AUUGAACGCUGGCGGCAGGCUUAACACAUGCAAGUCGAGCGGAUGAAGGGAGCUUGCUCCUGGAUUCAGCGGCGGACGGGUGAGUAAUGCCUAGGAAUCUGCCUGGUAGUGGGGGAUAACGUCCGGAAACGGGCGCUAAUACCGCAUACGUCCUGAGGGAGAAAGUGGGGGAUCUUCGGACCUCACGCUAUCAGAUGAGCCUAGGUCGGAUUAGCUAGUUGGUGGGGUAAAGGCCUACCAAGGCGACGAUCCGUAACUGGUCUGAGAGGAUGAUCAGUCACACUGGAACUGAGACACGGUCCAGACUCCUACGGGAGGCAGCAGUGGGGAAUAUUGGACAAUGGGCGAAAGCCUGAUCCAGCCAUGCCGCGUGUGUGAAGAAGGUCUUCGGAUUGUAAAGCACUUUAAGUUGGGAGGAAGGGCAGUAAGUUAAUACCUUGCUGUUUUGACGUUACCAACAGAAUAAGCACCGGCUAAUU
rnacentral:rRNA from 1 species